UGGGGAAUAUUGGACAAUGGGCGCAAGCCUGAUCCAGCCAUGCCGCGUGAACGAUGAAGGCCUUAGGGUUGUAAAGUUCUUUUGUCAGGGAAGAUAAUGACGGUACCUGAAGAAUAAGCACCGGCUAACUUCGUGCCAGCAGCCGCGGUAAUACGAAGGGUGCUAGCGUUGUUCGGAAUCACUGGGCGUAAAGCGCGCGUAGGCGGCUUAACAAGUCAGAGGUGAAAGCCUGGAGCUCAACUCCAGAACUGCCUUUGAAACUGUUAAGCUUGAGUGUCGGAGGGGAUAGCGGAAUUUCUAAUGUAGAGGUGAAAUUCGUAGAUAUUAGAAGGAACACCGGUGGCGAAGGCGGCUAUCUGGACGACAACUGACGCUGAGGCGCGAAAGCGUGGGGAUCAAACAGGAUUAGAUACCCAAGUAGUCCCUGAGCGGGCUGGCAAGGCGCAU
rnacentral:rRNA from 1 species